GAUGAACGCUGGCGGCGUGCCUAAUACAUGCAAGUCGAGCGAACUGAUUAGAAGCUUGCUUCUAUGACGCUAGCGGCGGACGGGUGAGUAACACGUGGGCAACCUGCCUGUAAGACUGGGAUAACUUCGGGAAACCGAAGCUAAUACCGGAUAGGAUCUUCUCCUUCAUGGGAGAUGAUUGAAAGAUGGUUUCGGCUAUCACUUACAGAUGGGCCCGCGGUGCAUUAGCUAGUUGGUGAGGUAACGGCUCACCAAGGCAACGAUGCAUAGCCGACCUGAGAGGGUGAUCGGCAACACUGGGACUGAGACACGGCCCAGACUCCUACGGGAGGCAGCAGUAGGGAAUCUUCCGCAAUGGACGAAAGUCUGACGGAGCAACGCCGCGUGAGUGAUGAAGGCUUUCGGGUCGUAAAACUCUGUUGUUAGGGAAGAACAAGUACGAGAGUAACUGCUCGUACCUUGACGGUACCUAACCAGAAAGCCACGGCUAACUACGUGCCAGCAGCCGCAGUAA
rnacentral:rRNA from 1 species